rnacentral:rRNA from 1 species
UGCGUAGGUGGUUUCUUAAGUCAGAGGUGAAAGGCUACGGCUCAACCGUAGUAAGCCUUUGAAACUGGGAAACUUGAGUGCAGGAGAGGAGAGUGGAAUUCCUAGUGUAGCGGUGAAAUGCGUAGAUAUUAGGAGGAACACCAGUUGCGAAGGCGGCUCUCUGGACUGUAGCUGACACUGAGGCACGAAAGCGUGGGGAGCAAACA